UACGUAGGGUGCGAGCGUUAAUCGGAAUUACUGGGCGUAAAGCGUGCGCAGGCGGUUUUGUAAGCCAGAUGUGAAAUCCCCGGGCUUAACCUGGGAAUGGCAUUUGGGACUGCAAGGCUGGAGUUUGGCAGAGGAGACUGGAAUUCUUGGUGUAGCGGUGAAAUGCGUAGAUAUCAGGAAGAACACCUAUGGCGAAGGCAGCUCUCUGGGACGGUACUGACGCUGAGACGCGAAAGCGUGGGGAGCGAACAGG
rnacentral:rRNA from 1 species